CGCAAACCCGCGUAAGGGAUGGUAGUGGUUAUCCUUUUUGUCUUUGGAUGAAUGUCAAUUUGGACGGGAAAUGUUCUGGACAAAAAGAUAAUAACGGACAGCCCGACCCGCU
rfam:Epilithonimonas sp. FH1 contig03, whole genome shotgun sequence.